UUUUUUGCUUGGUUGGCCCUUCAAGACAGAGUUUGGACGGCGGAUAGAUUGGCAAAGCGUGGGUGGCCAAAUUGCGAUCUCUGCCCUCUUUGCAGGACGGUGCAAGAAUGCGGACCUCACCUCUUCUACAAGUGCCGCUACACCCGGCGUCUUUGGUCUUUGGUCAUUGAGAAAUUCCUCAUGCACGGGCUUGACACUUCCGCUUGGCCCCUGUUCGACUCGGUGGACGAGUGGUGGGCAAGCACCUGCGCCGAUGGUACGCCGAACCGCCAAGCCAAGGCCUCCCUCACUAUGCUCGUCUCAUGGACGAUUUGGAACGAGCGUAAUGCAAGAGUGUUUAAGCAUAAGAGUGCUCCACCGCCAAUCUUGCUCUCCUCCAUCUCUGCCGAGGCCAACCUUUGGGUCAUCGCCGGCGCAAAGAAGCUAGGGUCUUUUAUUUCACGCGAAUAA
rnacentral:rRNA from 1 species